rnacentral:rRNA from 1 species
UGCCAGCCGCCGCGGUAAGACGGAGGGUGCAAACGUUGUUCGGAAUCACUGGGCAUAAAGCGCACGUAGGCGGUCCGCUAAGUCAGAUGUGAAAUCCCUCGGCUCAACCGAGGAAUUGCGCCCAAUACUGGCGGGCUUGAGGACGGUAGGGGUGAGUGGAACUCCAGGUGGAGCGGUGAAAUGCGUAGAUAUCUGGAGGAACACCGGUGGCGAAAGCGACUCACUGGACCGUCUCUGACGCUGAGGUGCGAAAGCCAGGGGAGCGAACCGGAUUAGAUA